AGUCGAGCGGUAACAGGGGUAGCUUGCUACCCGCUGACGAGCGGCGGACGGGUGAGUAAUGCAUAGGAAUCUGCCCGAUAGUGGGGGAUAACCUGGGGAAACCCAGGCUAAUACCGCAUACGUCCUACGGGAGAAAGGGGGCUUCGGCUCCCGCUAUUGGAUGAGCCUAUGUCGGAUUAGCUAGUUGGUAAGGUAAUGGCUUACCAAGGCAACGAUCCGUAGCUGGUCUGAGAGGAUGAUCAGCCACAUCGGGACUGAGACACGGCCCGAACUCCUACGGGAGGCAGCAGUGGGGAAUAUUGGACAAUGGGGGCAACCCUGAUCCAGCCAUGCCGCGUGUGUGAAGAAGGCCCUCGGGUUGUAAAGCACUUUCAGCGAGGAAGAACGCCUAUCGGUUAAUACCCGGUAGGAAAGACAUCACUCGCAGAAGAAGCACCGGCUAACUCCGUGCCAGCAGCCGCGGUAAUACGGAGGGUGCAAGCGUUAAUCGGAAUUACUGGGCGUAAAGCGCGCGUAGGUGGCUUGAUAAGCCGGUUGUGAAAGCCCCGGGCUCAACCUGGGAACGGCAUCCGGAACUGUCAGGCUAGAGUGCAGGAGAGGAAGGUAGAAUUCCCGGUGUAGCGGUGAAAUGCGUAGAGAUCGGGAGGAAUACCAGUGGCGAAGGCGGCCUUCUGGACUGACACUGACACUGAGGUGCGAAAGCGUGGGUAGCAAACAGGAUUAGAUACCCUGGUAGUCCACGCCGUAAACGAUGUCGACCAGCCGUUGGGUGCCUAGAGCACUUUGUGGCGAAGUUAACGCGAUAAGUCGACCGCCUGGGGAGUACGGCCGCAAGGUUAAAACUCAAAUGAAUUGACGGGGGCCCGCACAAGCGGUGGAGCAUGUGGUUUAAUUCGAUGCAACGCGAAGAACCUUACCUACCCUUGACAUCUACAGAAGCCGGAAGAGAUUCUGGUGUGCCUUCGGGAACUGUAAGACAGGUGCUGCAUGGCUGUCGUCAGCUCGUGUUGUGAAAUGUUGGGUUAAGUCCCGUAACGAGCGCAACCCUUGUCCUUAUUUGCCAGCGAGUAAUGUCGGGAACUCUAAGGA
rnacentral:rRNA from 1 species